GACGAAGGGGGCUAGCGUUGUUCGGAAUUACGGGGCGUAAAGCGCGUGUAGGCGGUUGUCCAAGUUGGAUGUGAAAGCCUUGAGCUUAACUCAAGAAAUGCAUUCAGGACUGGAUGACUAGAGGACCGGAGAGGAUAGUGGAAUUCCCAGUGUAGUGGUGAAAUACGUAGAGAUUGGGAAGAACACCAGUGGCGAAGGCGGCUAUCUGGACGGUUUCUGACGCUAAGACGCGAAAGCGUGGGGAGCAAACAGG
rnacentral:rRNA from 1 species